CCUACGGGUGGCAGCAGUGGGGAAUAUUGCACAAUGGGGGAAACCCUGAUGCAGCGACGCCGCGUGAGUGAAGAAGUAAUUCGUUACGUAAAGCUCUAUCAGCAGGGAAGAAAAUGACGGUACCUGAGUAAGAAGCCCCGGCUAACUACGUGCCAGCAGCCGCGGUAAUACGUAGGGGGCAAGCGUUAUCCGGAUUUACUGGGCGUAAAGGGAGCGUAGGCGGGGCGCCAAGUCAGGAGUGAAAUGCCGCAGCUUAACUGUGGAACUGCUUUUGAAACUGGCGAACUAGAGUGCGGGAGGGGUAGGCGGAAUUCCUAGUGUAGCGGUGAAAUGCGUAGAUAUUAGGAGGAACACCGAUGGCGAAGGCAGCAUACCGGCGCUCAACUGACGCUCAUGCACGAAAGUGUGGGUAGCGAACAGGAUUAGAUACCCGGGUAGUC
rnacentral:rRNA from 1 species